rnacentral:rRNA from 1 species
GAUGAACGCUGGCGGCGUGCCUAACACAUGCAAGUCGAGCGAUUCUCUUCGGAGAAGAGCGGCGGACGGGUGAGUAACGCGUGGGUAACCUGCCCUGUACACACGGAUAACAUACCGAAAGGUAUGCUAAUACGAGAUAAUAUGCUUUUAUCGCAUGGUAGAAGUAUCAAAGCUUUUGCGGUACAGGAUGGACCCGCGUCUGAUUAGCUAGUUGGUAAGGUAACGGCUUACCAAGGCGACGAUCAGUAGCCGACCUGAGAGGGUGAUCGGCCACAUUGGAACUGAGACACGGUCCAAACUCCUACGGAGGCAGCAGUGGGGAAUAUUGCACAAUGGCGAAAGCCUGAUGCAGCAACGCCGCGUGAGCGAUGAA